GGCAUAGUUCAGUUGGCAGAGCAACAGAUUUUGAUUUCGUCGGUCGCAGGUUUGAUCCCUGCUGCCACCA
rnacentral:tRNA from 1 species